CACACCGCCCGUCACGCCAUGAAAGUCGUCAGCACUCGAAAGUGUCUUAGCUAACCCGUUAGGGAGGCGGACAAUGAAGGUGAGGGGGAUGAUUGGGGCG
rnacentral:rRNA from 1 species